CAAGUCCUUAUUAUUCUAUUUUUCUGACAGACAACCAUUGCCGACCGCUUGAACGUUUAAACAAAAGCCAGCUCAUCAUCUGUCCUCCUCUCUUUGCCAUCAGUUUUAUAUAGCACCGUUAUCACAGUUUUACUUUUCUCGCCAUCUAUAUAUACACCCUUCUUUCUUUUCUUAGCUCCUCAUUCUCUUUCUCUUGCAUUGCGUUCAUUUUUUAUUGUUUCAAGAAACAGGGAGAGAAAGAGAUAAGGUAUGCAAAUACAAACCCAAUUUUUUUAUUUUAUAAUUCUUGUAUGUAUGGCUAAUAUUUAUUGUUUGUCUUCUUUGAGCAUUUAACAUUUUCGAUCUAGACAAAGAGUUCUUGCUUGUGAGCAGAAAUUUAGUUACAAGAUUGAGAAUUCAACAUUGCUUUGGUUCUUUUAUUUUCUUCAGUUCUUGAUGUUGGCUACGGGAUCUUAAAGGAUAUAGGCAAUAUUGGUAUGCAUUAUAGUUUUUCAAUCUGCUCACAAAAUGAAAAAUGUAC
rnacentral:misc_RNA from 1 species